rnacentral:rRNA from 1 species
GUGGGGAAUAUUGCGCAAUGGGGGAAACCCUGACGCAGCAACGCCGCGUGAGUGAUGAAGGCCUUUGGGUUGUAAAGCUCUGUCGGCUGUGAAGAAAAAGCCCCCUUCGAAUAGGUGGGGGUAAUGACUGUAGCAGCAAAGGAAGCACCGGCUAACUUCGUGCCAGCAGCCGCGGUAAUACGAAGGGUGCAAGCGUUGUUCGGAAUCAUUGGGCGUAAAGGGCGCGUAGGCUGUUUAAUUAGUCAGUGGUGAAAUCCUAUAGCUUAACUAUAGAAGUGCCAUUGAAACUGUUAAACUAGAGUAUCUCAGAGGAAGGCGGAAUUCCUAGUGUAGAAGUGAAAUUCGUAGAUAUUAGGAGGAACACCGGAGGCGAAGGCGGCCUUCUGGGAGGUAACUGACGCUGAUGCGCGAAAGCGUGGGGAUCAAACAGGAUUAGAAACCCCAGUAGUCC